rnacentral:sRNA from 2 species
UAACCAUAGUUGCUUAAUCUUAAAAAGAGCGGGGGAACCAUUUCUUUAUUGGGGUGAAUCCUUUUUUGUAAAGGUAGGGGUAUUCUUUAAUCCCGAAUCCGACAGCUAACCUCGUAAGCAUUUAAAGAAGGGGGUU